rnacentral:rRNA from 1 species
CUGGUCUGUAACUGACAUUGAGGCGCGAAAGCGUGGGGAGCACACAGGAUUAGAUAACCUGGUAGUCCACGCCGUAAACGAUGAGUGCUAAGUGUUGGGGGGUUUCCGCCCCUCAGUGCUGCAGCUAACGCAUUAAGCACUCCGCCUGGGGAGUACGGUCGCAAGACUGAAACUCAAAGGAAUUGACGGGGGCCCGCACAAGCGGUGGAGCAUGUGGUUUAAUUCGAAGCAACGCGAAGAACCUUACCAGGUCUUGACAUCCCAUUGACCACUGUAGAGAUACAGUUUUCCCUUCGGGGACAACGGUGACAGGUGGUGCAUGGUUGUCGUCAGCUCGUGUCGUGAGAUGUUGGGUUAAGUCCCGCAACGAGCGCAACCCUUGUUCUUAGUUGCCAUCAUUUAGUUGGGCACUCUAAGGAGACUGCCGGUGAUAAACCGGAGGAAGGUGGGGAUGACGUCAAAUCAUCAUGUCCCUUAUGACCUGGGCUACACACGUGCUACAAUGGACGAUACAAACGGUUGCCAACCCGCGAGGGGGAGCUAAUCCGAUAAAAUCGUUCUCAGUUAGGUUUGUAGGGUGCAACUC